rnacentral:rRNA from 1 species
AUUGAACGCUGGCGGCAGGCUUAACACAUGCAAGUCGAGCGGGGGAAGGUAGCUUGCUACCGGACCUAGCGGCGGACGGGUGAGUAAUGCUUAGGAAUCUGCCUAUUAGUGGGGGACAACAUCUCGAAAGGGAUGCUAAUACCGCAUACGUCCUACGGGAGAAAGCAGGGGAUCUUCGGACCUUGCGCUAAUAGAUGAGCCUAAGUCGGAUUAGCUAGUUGGUGGGGUAAAGGCCUACCAAGGCGACGAUCUGUAGCGGGUCUGAGAGGAUGAUCCGCCACACUGGGACUGAGACACGGCCCAGACUCCUACGGGAGGCAGCAGUGGGGAAUAUUGGACAAUGGGGGGAACCCUGAUCCAGCCAUGCCGCGUGUGUGAAGAAGGCCUUAUGGUUGUAAAGCACUUUAAGCGAGGAGGAGGCUACUUUAGUUAAUACCUAGAGAUAGUGGACGUUACUCGCAGAAUAAGCACCGGCUAACUCUGUGCCAGCAGCCGCGGUAAUACAGAGGGUGCGAGCGUUAAUCGGAUUUACUGGGCGUAAAGCGUGCGUAGGCGGCUUAUUAAGUCGGAUGUGAAAUCCCCGAGCUUAACUUGGGAAUUGCAUUCGAUACUGGUGAGCUAGAGUAUGGGAGAGGAUGGUAGAAUUCCAGGUGUAGCGGUGAAAUGCGUAGAGAUCUGGAGGAAUACCGAUGGCGAAAGCAGCCAUCUGGCCUAAUACUGACGCUGAGGUACGAAAGCAUGGGGAGCAAACAGGAUUAGAUAUCCUGGUAGUCCAUGCCGUAAACGAUGUCUACUAGCCGUUGGG